CCGCCACUUCCACUUCAUUUCAUCUCUCUGUCUCUGUAUUUGUUUUUGUAUUUUGAUUUUGUUUUUCUCUCCGACUGUUUUUGUGGCUCUGAUUUUGUGUUUCUCUGUGUUUGUGUUUUUUUUUUGUAUUUGUGAGUGUAUUUUUAUGUCUCAGUGUUUGUGAUUUUGUGACUUCGAAUUUGUGGUUGUGUUUCUUUCUAGGUCAGUAAUUUUUGUGAUUUUGUCUCUAUGAUGAGUGCGAAUGUUAUUUGUGCUAGUAAUUUUGCAUUUUGAUGUUUCUCUUUUGAGUGGGUUUGUUUGUGUUCGUGAUUUUAUUUUCCUACACGUGUUUGUGAAUUUUCAGAUUUUCUGGAUUUUUGUUUUGAGCCUUGAAUGUUUUGGAUUUGUAGCUUGAUUUGAUUUGGGUUCUUCUGUUAGUGUUUUUGUGUCUUUUAGUUUGUGAAUUUGUGGAAUUUUGGGUGUUUUGUGUCUUAGUGUUUGUGAAUAUCUGUAUUUUUUUUGCCCUAGUGUUUGUGAUUGUGUGUCUUUUAGUUUGUGGGUGUCUUCUUUCCGAAUUUACGUGUGUGAAUGUUCUUUGUGUGAGUAAUUUUUGUUUUAUUAAUUUUUCUCUUUUGCCUGGUUGUGUUUUUAUUUUUUUUUCUCUACGUGUUUGUGAAUCUUCAGUUAUUAUAGAAUUUUUUCUUAUGAGUUUCGAGUUUUUUGGAUUUAUAGUUUGAUUUGAUUGAGUUCUAGGUAGGUAUUGCUCUUGAUAGUUGGUACAGAUUUCAUGAAACUUCUGAACAUUUUUUAUGUGAUUAGUCUUUGAUUUUUGAUUUUUCAGUUUACCUCCUGUAAUGCUAAUGGGAGAUUGUAUUUGGGUGACUACUAGUACUAGCCUAUUUUUUGUUCAAUUUAUAGCCGGAAUCAGUGUUUUAAGGUUUAUGUAUCUGCUGUGUUCAGUACCUUAUGCAUAGUAAUCAUAUCGAUGUAAGACUUGCAAUGCAUAGCAAGGAGAAUGAAAGAAACCCGUUUGCUUCCAUGGUCGUGUUGUUUUAUUUCAGGUUGACCCUGUUUCAGCAGCAGCUCCAUACGAUAAAGAAUUUAUUGUCUCCUCUCUGGGCUUGCUGAGGGUCUUGAUAGCAGGAUUGAGAGUUUGGUUUCACAAAGCAGUUUGAGGGACCUGCUGCUGCAAUGUUCCGCAGACGAUGCUUCAGAUGUUCGACAAGGUGCUUUUCAAUGCUUGGAGACCUUGCAAGGGUGUAUGUCACUGGCUGAACUCAAGUGAGUGGUGUACAUUUGCGCCCUCGAUUGGCCGAAUUUCUUAAUGUUGCAGCCAAAUAACUGAGCACACCUAAGCUUAAGGGAACUAUGUUUGUUGCAAACAAUGUUUGUUGGGCUAUUGGAGAAUUAGCAGUCAAGGUCUGUCAAGAAUUUUCUCCAAUUGUUAUGACUCUUAUAUCAAGUUUAGUAUCAAUCCUUCAACAUCCAGAGGACCUCAACAAAUCACUAAUAGAAAAUAGUACAAUCACUUUUGGGAGGCUUGCAUGGGAUUCGUGAUGAUAUUGGAAAGGAGAAUGCUUUCCAAGGCCUAUGCGCAGUAGUAUGAAUUUGAUUUCAGAAGUUUUCAUCAUUAACGGUGAAUCAAUAAAGUCGAAUAUUUUGGAUCCCUUUCAGGUCCGAGCAAAUCCUUCGAGAGCUUUAAGUUCACUUGUAUUCAUGUGCAAAGAUAUUCGUAACGUAAAAAUAGGAAAUAAGGAGCAACGAGCUACGCAAUGAUCUUUGUCAGAUGUUGCAUGGUUAUAAACAGUCUACUUCCUGUAAUGCAAAUGGUCAGAUUACUGCAUCCAGUUCCAAUUGAAUUUCUUUUUUAAAGAAAGACUUGAAAAAGAAUCGGAUGCAAGAGGCACCACAAUUAGGGUGCAUUGUUUAAUCCUGCCGCAAGCUGCUUGGAGCAUUAUGUGUUCACAGAGAUUGAUAAAUCAGAUUUUUAAAAUAAAUCCGAGUUUGAAACAAAUCCUUGACAUCUAUAUGAAGCAGUUGCAAUUCAGAUCCCAAAUUUUAUCUUAUGUAUCAGGCAACCAAGCGUAACUAUGGAAUUGCUGUUAGGGCUUUAACUGCUACAAUAUGGGCUCAUCACGGUCAUGUACCAAAGACAACGCUAACUGAUAAGGCACUUGAUCUUGCUUCUCCAGAUGAGCUCAUUGGAAUUUGGCGUGGUUAUUAAGUUUUUGCUUUAGGAAUCUACCAGCUGUUUGGAGAUGAUAUAUGGGAGAUUGAAAAAUGAGUUUGCUUGAUUUCAUUGUGCGGUGGAGCAAUAUGAAAAAGUAGGUUUCUUCUUAAAGUAGGUUUUAGAAACAGUAUUUUCCAAAUCAUAUCUCAGUUGGUUAUGUGAAGAAUGCCAUAUUAUUUGGUUAUUUGGAUCUUGAAUCGGAUGGAAGAAUAAAUUAGAUCAUUCAUGCUUGGAAGCAGAAGAGGGAGGUCCCAAGAAAGAAAAUUUAUUAUGUGAAGUGUGAAGAAGAGAGGCUGAGGAAGCUGCAUGAAGAGGAGGAAUCUCGGAAGCAUUAAGAGGUUGAGAGACUAAGGGAAGUAGAAGCAGAGCACAUGGCAAAAUUAGAUGAAAUUGCUGAGAAACAGAGGCAGAGAGGGUGGAGAGAGAGAGAGAGAGAGAGGGAAGAAAAGAGAAGAGGAGAUUAAUUGACGUCCCUUCUAGGCCUUCAAAUCUUCAUGCUCUGUCAUUUUACAUUGAAGAAAGACAGGUGGCAAUUGCAGCUAUGGACUGCCAAUCUCUUGAUGUUGCAAAGUCUUGCAUUCAAAUUGAAGAUGCAAAUGUGAAGCUUGUUUGCUCCAAAUCAACAAGUGACUUCUGAAGCAGAAUUACACUUUGAGUUUUGGUCAAAUAAAGUUGUCGUUGAACCAUCCCUUAAUGAUCAUGACAAUUCCGAGGUUCACAAAGCAGUUUGAGGGACCUGCUGCUGCAAUGUUCCGGCCGCAGACAAUGCUUCAGAUGUUCGACAGGGUGCUUUUGCACUGCUUGGCGACCUUGCGAGGGUGUAUGUCACUGGCUGAACUCUAGUAAGUUCUUCUCUGCCAAUUGGGUACAGUUGAAUUAAGGCCGAGAAGUGUAUCUGUUAGCAAAACAAAAUAGUGUGUGGUGUACAUUUGCGCCCUCGAUUGGCCGGAUUUCUUAAUGUUGCAGCCAAAUAACUGAGCACACCUAAGCUCAAGGGAACUGUGUCUGUUGCAAACAAUGUUUGUUGGGCUAUUGGAGAAUUAGCAGUCAAGAUUUGUCAAGAAAUUUCUCCAAUUGUUAUGACUCCUAUAUCAAGUUUAGUAACAAUCCUUCAACAUCCAGAGAAUUUGCUAAACAGGAUCCCAACAAAGAGUGCCUCUUGCCACAUUAUGAAGUGUUCAGCUUCCAGGAAUUAUGAAAUAUUCAUAUUUAUUUUUUAUCUUCCAGGCACUAUCAUUCUUUAAAAAACAGACUUUUCAGAUUCUUAUAUGCUGCUUUUAUGUUCUUACAAAGAUAGAAUAAAUCUGAGUUUGAAACAAAUCCUUGACACCUAUAUGAAGCAGCUGCAAUUCAGAUCCCAAAUUUUAUGUUCUGUAUCAGGCAACCAAGAGUGGCUAUUGAAUUGCUGUUAGGGCUUUAACUGCUAUAACAAGGGCUCAUAAUGGUCUUGUACCAAAGACAACGCUAACAUAUAAGGCACUUAUUCUUGCUUCUCCAGAUGAACUCAUUGGAAUUUGCGUGGUUAUUAAGUUUUUGCUCAAGUAAUCUACCGGCUGUUUGGAGAUAUAUGGGAGAUUGAAAAAUGGGUUUGCUUGUAUCUACUACUUUGAGAUUUAGUUAUUUUUUUAUCUUUCGUUAGUGGGUGUUGUCUCUAUUUGUUUUGGUAAUUUUGUUUAAUGUUCAUAUGACUUCCCAGGAUUCUUCUUAAAGUAGGUUUUAGAAACAGUAUUUUCCAAAUCAUAUCUCAGUUGAUCAUGUGAAGAACGCCAUAUUAUUUGGUUAUUUGGAUCUUGAAUCCAAUGAAAGAAUAAAUGAUCAUUCAUGCUUGGAAGAAAGAGAGGGAGGAAAAUUUAUUAAGUGAAGUAUGAAAAAGAGAGGGUGAGAAAGCUGCAUGGAGAGGAGGAAUCCCAGAAGCAUUAAGAGGUUGAGAGACUAAGGAAAGUAGAAGCAAAACACAUGGCAAAAUUAGAUGAAACUGCUGAGAAACAGAGGCAGAGAGGGUGGAGAGAGAGAAGAGAAGAGGAGGAUAUUUACUGACGCCCCUUCUAGGCCUUCAGAUCUUCAUGCUCUCUCAUUUUACAUAGAAGAAAGACGAAUGGAGACUAUAUGAAUAUGUGGCAAUUUUAGCUAUGGACUGCCAAUCUCUUGAUGGUGCAAAGGUAUUGCAUUCAAGUCACAGCUAAUAUCGUUGAAGAUGCAGAUGUCGUUGAACCAUCCCUUAAUGAUUAUGACAUUUCCGAGAUGGAACUCCAACUUCAAAUAAAAUGUCUCUAUUUUCAAACCUUCUUGGCAUGUCUCCAAGGGAAAUAUCUCCGACACAAUGUUUUCCUCUUGCCGAUACGAUUGUCGAAGG